rnacentral:rRNA from 1 species
UACGAAGGGGGCUAGCGUUGCUCGGAAUCACUGGGCGUAAAGCGCACGUAGGCGGACUCUUAAGUCGGUGGUGAAAUCCUGGAGCUCAACUCCAGAACUGCCUUCGAUACUGGGAGUCUCGAGUCCGGGAGAGGUGAGUGGAACUGCGAGUGUAGAGGUGAAAUUCGUAGAUAUUCGCAAGAACACCAGUGGCGAAGGCGGCUCACUGGCCCGGUACUGACGCUGAGACGCGAAAGCGUGGGGAGCAAACAGGG